GUGGGGAAUAUUGGACAAUGGGGGAAACCCUGAUCCAGCAAUGCCGCGUGAGUGAAGAAGGCCUUAGGGUUGUAAAGCUCUUUCGCCCGCGAAGAUAAUGACGGUAGCGGGAGAAGAAGCCCCGGCUAACUCCGUGCCAGCAGCCGCGGUAAUACGGAGGGGGCUAGCGUUGUUCGGAAUUACUGGGCGUAAAGCGUACGUAGGCGGAUGCGCAAGUUGGGGGUGAAAUCCCGGGGCUUAACCUCGGAAUUGCCCUCAAAGCUGCACGUCUUGAGACCGAGAGAGGUAAGGGGAAUUCCUAGUGUAGAGGUGAAAUUCGUAGAUAUUAGGAAGAACACCAGUGGCGAAGGCGCCUUACUGGCUCGGUACUGACGCUGAGGUACGAAAGCGUGGGGAGCAAACA
rnacentral:rRNA from 1 species